UGUUCAUUUCUCUCAGUGUACGCAUAUGUAGGUCUUCUUUUGUACCAGUAUAUGUAUCUCGGAACUCUUAUCGUAUACUGCAAUUUUCAUACACAUCGUAUCGUAUAGAUUUUUGUGUAAUUUUAUUACAUUUAUUAAUGAUAAAUCAAUGAUCGAUGGGGAAGGUGCUGCGGAGGGGGUUUAGGUUUAUGAGGGGGUUUUGAAGUCAUUGCGCUUACAGUUGCAGCAUUCGCAAUACACAUGACUGUGCAACUGUUGCGCGCUCUGCCGUUGUUGCUGUUUUUCGUUUUUCUUUUUUUGAGCAAGGGCUAUUGUAGAAUAUUCGUAUGUGGUGCUGCUCUCCAGAGACACUACACAUGUGUGUGUGUGUGUGAGUUGUGCACUUUAUGAGAUAAUACCUUGAACGUGCGUCAGUCAGGUCGUUGGCGCCGCCUUACAACUACACGACAAUUGCUGUAGUAACCGUAACCCGAAUGAAAUGAAAAGUGUGUAAAGAUUUAGCAGGCAGUUCCAUAGUUGCACAGUUCCCUUUUGAUCUAAAAUGCGGAAUCAGGCUUUAUCUUACAUUCGGCAUUAGUCAUCUUUGAGUAAAGACUGCAAAUGACACGUUCCACCAUUUUGGACAAUCUAACUGCGCAUUUAGGCAGGUAAAGAAACAGAUAUUGAGGGAGUCGCAGAGAAGGAGAAGCAAGAGCAAGAGCAAGAGAGAGAGCGAGACAUGGAGAUGGAGAGGGAGAGGAAGAUAGUUGGAAACAAAGACCAAUCAAAGUUCAUACGAAAAAUAAUCAAAGCAAAUGCAAAACACACAAAAAAAAAACACUAGCAAAAAACCAGAAAAAGAAGAAGACAAACAUUAAAACUCAUUUACAUGCUGUUACCGAGUGAGAGAGGGCUGUGAGUGGCUAUGCGAGGGGAAGAUUGAGUGAGUGCAUCGCAGAGCGGAGCGUGCAGUGUUCUUGAGUUUAAAUGUGAGCGUUCGCCCUGCGUGGGGAAAUCGAAUCCACCACAAAGAGAGGGCCCUCGUUAAUGAGCAGGAAAUGCAAUUUCUCAAGCUCAUUUGGUGGAUUAAUGAGUCGCCGAGUGAGUUUUUUGGACUCCCCCCACUCCUACCAGAGCGCAGUAUGCAGAUUAAUAUGCUUAUAGUUUCAUGUAAUCAUUAUUUGGCAUAAUUAGGGGAAAUCCCUACUUUGGGAAAAAGCAGUGGAAGCAAUUAAAAUAAAUAUUUUAUAUAGUUUCCCGUUUUAAGGCUUAUCAAAUAAUAAAUUCUCUUGGAAACAUUAAUUUCCGAGUAGAAGAGAGAGACAGCUCCCUCAAGCUAGUCACCCCUAACCCUACUCAACCCCACACCCCCCUCUCAGAACAAAACACAAAAAAAAAUAAAAUGCAGCUAAUUGCUGUGACUGCGACGUCGACGGCGGCAGCAGCGCAGCAGCAGCAGCAGCAAUGCACUUCUUUGGCAGUGUGCGUGAGUGGCACAAAAAAAUGUGGUGAAUAAAUUUGCGAGAUGAUUAUUUCCAUGUGUUUGUGUCUACAUAUGAUAUGACUUUGUGUUGGCUUUGUUCUAGGCAACAACAUAGCUGUGUGUGUGUGUGUGUGUGUGUGAGUGGCAGAGCAAAUAAUUUGAGUGACUUUUUUGUGUGUGUUAAUUGUAAGCCACAUUUCUUAGGACAAUUGUCAACAAUGUCAAAAGCUUCGCUAGAGCGCAGGAGGUGGCGUGCGGGGUCGACAAAGCCCGAACCGCAACCGAUGCCGAAGCCGAAGCCAAAACCGAAGCGACGCCGGCUAUUUUGGCAGCUGAGCGCGCAGUCGGCUGUUCGCUUUUUUAUCAACGCGCGCUGGCAUCGCUGCAAUUGCAUUGCCCUGCUGCUGCUGCUGCACUUGCUCUGCUCUCCCUCUGGCUGGCGCUCUCAAGCUCUAGCUUGCUCUCUCGGGCCCAGGCUCGCUCUGCGGUUCUGGUGCAGUCUCUCUAGCUCUGGCUGUUCCUUAACCUUAACCCCUCCUCUAGCCUCUAGCGGAGUCUCUCUCUCUCUGUCUCUCUCUAAGUCUACCUGAGUCGCAGACUAUAAUUUACCCCGCUCGCUCUCUAGCCCAGGCUCAGGCCUGUUCCUGGUCUUACCCCAUUACUCCUAAAGUUUUCGCGUAUGCGCUUUGCUCAAACGACUCAAAAUGCCUGCUCUCCAUGCAGUACGAAUUUGUUCUCACUCAGAGCCUCCCCUCCAGCUCUCAUUCUCACUCACUAUCUCUCUCGCUCUCUGUCUCUGUCUCUGCCUCUCAUUCUGGCCCAGCUCUCUCAGUAUUCUAGCUUUGUUGUAGUUGUUGCUGGCAGCUUUUUUUUUUGCUUUUGUCGAGUCCGAAUGCGCUUGUAUGCAAUUUUUGAACGUGCGGCGGCAGCGUCGACGCCAGCGCCAACGCCAGCGCCGUGGCUCCGUGUGUCUUCGUGUGUUGUUGUGAUAUAAUUUUGCAGUCGGCUGCGGCAGUCGCAUAAACACAACGCAUCCGAUAUGCAACGGAACGCAUUUUCGGACGCGGCCCGAGUCGUUCCGAGGUGUAGCGUCCGCCCGAUCGCGUAUAUCAAUCGUAAAGCACUAAGCGCAUUGCCCAUUUACACGCAGGCCAUCAGGCCACACGAAAAUCGUUUUGCACACCCCGAAACAUAUUUGGCAUUGAUAAAGCGAAUAGCUAACAGUUAUUACAGGAAAACAGUUAACCAUAACCCAACAAAAAGUGAUUAAAAAUAAAAAAAACAAAACCAAUUAAAACAAAAUAUUCUAAAAAAUCUACAUAUUUGAAGAGAAUACUCUUCGAGCUCAGAAGAACCAAAAAUCAAGUGGUGAAAACUUUCAAAAGCGCUGUUUUUGAGAACAAAAUAAAACGGAAGAAUGAUAUGUUUUAGUGUGUCUGUGAAUUGCGUAUACGCCGCGCGAGUGUUGCUAAUUUUUGGGCCAUCGCAGCGUUGGUCACACUAAUCAGCAUCAGCAUGUGAAAUAUAGAGCCUUUGGGCCCUGCCAUGCCUCGACCAACAAAAUUUCUGUGGAAAAGCCAUAUGAUCACACGCCUUGCUUGGGUCACUCGUCCUCAACGAUUUUUUGGCCUGGACACACUCCCUUUGAGGCACAUACGCACACUGGAGACACCCCUUCCCACGCACCAGCCUCCCCCCUUCCUACGCCCACCCACUCAUCAAUCCCGCUCAUUUGUUUGACUGUUUUUUUUCGGACAAAAAACAACAAUAAUAUCAUGGCAAUCGCCGCUUGUCUCAUUUACGCUUAUUUCUCUUUGUGUGCGUGUGUCUGUGCGUGUGUGUGGCGAGAGUGUGGCGACGCUGACGUUGACGCCACCGCCAACAGCCACGUUGACGUCGCCGUCGACGUCGCUGCUGUCAUGCAAAAUGCGGAAAAGUUUUUUUCGCGCACUCGCAAAAUUUUUAUAGAAUGCAUUUUUAUUUCGGUCUUUUGGUUGAAUAGUUGCAUUGCCCGGCUCAAAUAAAAAACAACAACAACAGCAGCAGCAACAACAACAUUUUUGUUAGUAAAUUUAUGUUGAAUUAAAUACAAUAUACAAAACAAAACAAAAAGUGCAAUCCCAUCAACAACAAAAAAACAAAUAAACAAAAUAUUAAGAACUUAAAAAUAAUUAGAAAAGUAGCCACAUUACUUUUGAAUUAUUUUUAAAACACAAGAGAGGAAAAA